GCAGUGGUGAUUAAGUAGUAGAAUUCUCACCUUCCGUGUGGGAGAUCUGGGUUUGAUUCCCAGCCAGUGUA
rnacentral:tRNA from 1 species